ensembl:lncRNA
UGGGCAUGGAUCACUGAAUGUCAACUUGAUGAAAUUCAAAGGAGCAUGCCCACCUGUAGUAAUCCUGCUUAGAAGGAGAGGAACCGCAGGUUCAAACAUUUGGUGUAUGUGCUUGGCUGAGGAGACAAUGGUGCGAAGCUACCAUCUGUGAGACUAUGACUGAACGCCUCUAAGUCAGAAUCCCCCCUAAAGGUAACGAUACCGUAGCGCAGCAGAUCUUCGGGUGGCCCGGGAUAGCCUGUCUCUUUUGGGAGAAAUGAAAGCCUCACUAUUUAAACUAGAAGAUCAGAGCAGUGAGAAUGAUCUGCGGAACAGAUGAAAAGGAAGAACAAAAAAGAAAAGCUUCAGUAAAUCAACUUCCUGCUCAACUUCUAUGAAACCCAAGAGAGUUGCAAAAGUUUACAAGAGGCAGCAAAGCAACAUCAGGAAGCCCAUCAAAGUUUCAAACAAGAACAAGAAUCCCUGUUAGAGUCUGUAAAGUGCCGAACAGCUCAAUAAAGACUUUGAAGAUAUCAAAACAAAAUCCAUACAGUCACUAGAUAAAACAAAGUUGUGGAGACCAGAACAUCAGAACUCACCACAGAGUUUAAGGGGAAACAUGCUGAAAUUCACUAAUUCAAGAAUAAAGUCUGCUGAAAACAAUUUACUGGAAAAGGCACUUGAAAAGGCUGAAACGAUGCAAAACUAUUUGAAGGAUAAAGACAAUAUGACAGAGAGGAAAAUACAAGAGAUUGAGGGGCAAUUAUCUGCUGCAAUGAGAAGAGAGGAAAAAUCCAUCAAGGAAAAAGAUCAUCUGAAGACAGACAUUGUACAACAUGAGGUGAAGUAUGAAGAGCUAUCAGCAAGUCUCAAUCAGCUGCAACUUGAGAACAAGACUAUUCUGGAGACGAUGCAGAAUGAAUCCUCAGAGGCAACCAUUCUUGUAGCACGACUAAAAGUCUGUAUGAAUUGAACAUGUGUUGCUGUAUGUAUAGAAUAAAACAGAAUAAUUGAGCAGUUUUCUGAUAAUUUAAGGUAUUUUGUUGUUAUGGGAAUAUUUUUCUCUCAUUCAGGAGAGGGAGGCAAAAUAGAUGAAGAUGAAGAAGGAAAUUGAAAGGCUCCAGGAGGAAAACCAUCAAUUAUGGAUUUCAAAUCCUCUCUAUGGGAAAGAAAAGGUACCGAAGCUACAGCUUUGAGCUACAGAGGCCGUCAAGAGUAAGGAAGAUGCUGAAGUCAAACGUCAGAACAAGACAGCAGACAUGGUUGCCGUGACGGAAAGCACAAGGUUAAGUUCUCUGUUGGCAUCAGAUCCACUAUGACGAAAUGGUUGACGAGAAAGAUGCAGAGCUUGAUGAUAAGAAGAGAGAAGACAUGGAGGCAGCUGCUAAUAGAACAUCACUGGAAUUGGAUCUGUCACAGCAGAACAUGGAAAAUGGCCAUUUGAAGGAACAACUGGAGAAAGAAAUGAAGGAGAGGGAAAGCUGACUACAGGAGAUUACAGGUCUGGAAAAAGAGACGGCAUGUCAGAAAAUGAGCAGGCAACUGCAGACACAGGAUAACCAGGAAAUGGAAAGCAAAGCCCCAAGAACUCCGUCUUGGAGCUCCAUAACAACAGUUAUAGCAACACCGCAAAUUAAGGAAAGCAAAGCUCUCAAAACUCCAUCUUGGCGUUCCCCAGUACAGCUGGCGCAACACCACGGAUUAAGUCUUACAGAAUCAGAACUCCUCCGUCCGCUGGGAAGUCUGUGCCCUGGGGGAAGAGUACCCUGGAGCUUGACCUGGGGGAAGAGUACCCUGGAUCUUGACCUGGGGGAGAGUACCCUGGAGCUUGACCUGGGGGAAGAGUACCCUGGAGCUUGACCUGGAGGAAGAGCACACUGGAGCUUGACCUGGGGGGAGAGCACACUGGAGCUUGACCUGGAGGAAGAGCACACUGGAGCUUGACCUGGAGGAAGGGCACACUGGAGCUUGACCUGGGGGA